GGCCAGAUAGCUCAGUGGUUAGAGCAUUUGGGAUUCUACUAGAAGGUCCUGGGUUCAAGCCCCUGUGAAAUCC